GUGAACGCUGGCGGUAGGCCUAACACAUGCCAGUCGAACGGCAGCACAGUAAGAGCUUGCUCUUACGGGUGGCGAGUGGCGGACGGGUGAGGAAUACAUCGGAAUCUACUUUUUCGUGGGGGAUAACGUAGGGAAACUUACGCUAAUACCGCAUACGACCUACGGGUGAAAGCAGGGGAUCUUCGGACCUUGCGCGAUUGAAUUAGCCGAUGUCGGAUUAGCUAGUUGGCGGGGUAAAGGCCCACCAAGGCGACGAUCCGUAGCUGGUCUGAGAGGAUGAUCAGCUACACUGGAACUGAGACACGGUCCAGACUCCUACGGGAGGCAGCAGUGGGGAAUAUUGGACAAUGGGCGCAAGCCUGAUCCAGCCAUACCGCGUGGGUGAAGAAGGCCUUCGGGUUGUAAAGCCCUUUUGUUGGGAAAGAAAAGCAGCAGGUUAAUACCCCGCUGUUCUGACGGUACCCAAAGAAUAAGCACCGGCUAACUUCG
rnacentral:rRNA from 1 species